GGUCAAGCGAGAAAGUGCACACGGUGGAUGCCUUGGCACAGACCGGCGAUGAAGGACGUGGCAAGCUGCGAAAAUCCUCGGGGAGUUGCAAGCAAGCUUGGAUCCGGGGGUGUCCGAAUGGGGAAACCCGGCGGGAGCAAUCCCGUCACCCCGCAAGGGGAGCCAACCCAGGGAACUGAAACAUCUAAGUACCUGGAGGAAAAGAAAUCAAUCGAGAUUCCCAGAGUAGCGGCGAGCGAAACGGGAAGAGCCCAAACCCGGGUGGGGAGACUCAACCGGGGGUUGUGGGGCCGCGUGGGAGGCGAGUCGAAGCAUAGCGGAACGGUACUGGAACGUACGACCGCAGAGGGUGAGAGUCCCGUAUGCGAAAUGCGAGUAGACGAGCUGGCGCGGACCCCGAGUAGGCCGGGACACGUGGAACCCUGGCUGAAUCCGGGAGGACCAUCUUCCAAGGCUAAAUACGAGUCUGUGACCGAUAGCGAAUAGUACCGUGAGGGAAUGGUGAAAAGAACGCCUGACGGCGAGUGAAAUAGACCCUGAAACCGUGUGCAUACAAGCGGUCGGAGCCCGACCCGGAUCUUCGGAUUACCGGGGAUGGGUGACGGCGUGCCUUUUGCAUUAUGAUCCGGCGAGUUACUCCUCAUGCGCGAGGUUAAGGGCCUCUGGUCCGGAGCCGAAGCGAAAGCGAGUCUGAACAGGGCGACGAGUGCAUGGGGGUAGACCCGAAACCGACGCGAUCUAUCCAUGGCCAGGGUGAAGCUGGGGUAACACCUGGUGGAGGCCCGAACCGUUGUGGGUUGAAAACUGCUCGGAUGAGCUGUGGAUAGGGGUGAAAGGCCAAUCAAGCUCGGAGAUAGCUGGUUCUCCCCGAAAUAUAUUUAGGUAUAGCCUCAGGGGAUUAUCUCGAGGAGGUAGAGCACUGGAUGGGCUAGGGGCCUCACCAGGUUACCGAACCCAACCAAACUCCGAAUGCCUCAGAGACGUAUCCUGGGAGUCAGUGGGCGGGCGAUAAUGUCCGUCCGCGAGAGGGAAAGAGCCCAGACCGUCAGCUAAGGCCCCCAAGUCCGUGCUAAGUGAGAAAGGAUGUGGAUGUGCAGAGACAACUAGGAGGUUGGCUUAGAAGCAGCCAUGCCUUUAAAGAGUGCGUAAUAGCUCACUAGUCAAGUGGAUCCGCGCCGAUAAUGGUCGGGACUCAAGCACGGCGCCGAAGCUACGGAUGACGCAAGUCAUGGUAGGGGAGCAUUCCCUGGUCAGCGAAGCGGACUCGGAAGAGCAUCCGUGGAGAGCAGGGAAGAGAGUAUGCCGGAAUGAGUACGCGAUAAACAGGGUGAGAAUCCCUGUCACCGAAAGUCUAAGGGUUCCGGAGCCAGGCUUAUCCGCUCCGGGUUAGUCGGUCCCUAAGCCGAGGCCGAAGGGCGUAGGCGAUGGGAAACAGGUUAAUAUUCCUGUACCGGUCAGGUAGCGUUCGACCAUGAGGGGGGACGCGGGAGUGACAGGACCGUCGGGUGGUGGAAUAUCCGAUGUAAGGUGGUAGGCGAUGAGAGGGGAUAAAAGACUUCUUUAGCCGAGCGCCGAUGCCGAAGGGGAAAUCAUUCCCCGCAAAGGGUCCGUAAUCAUGCCGCCGAGAAAAGCCUCGCAUGGGAGGUGCCUGGCCGACCGUACCGCAAACGGACACACGUAGGCGAGGCGAGUAGCCUAAGGUGCUCGAGUGAUCCGCGGAGAAGGAACUCGGCAAAAUGUCCCCGUAACUUCGGGAGAAGGGGAGCCUGCGGUAGGUGAACCAUGAUGCGUGGGGAGCCGAAACAGGCCGCAGAGAAUCGGCCCAAGCGACUGUUUAUUAAAAACACAGGUGUCUGCAAAGUCGGUCAAGACGACGUAUAGGCACUGACGCCUGCCCGGUGCCGGAAGGUAAAAGGAAGGGGUUAGGGGUAACCCGAAGCUCUGAACUGAAGCCCCGGUAAACGGCGGCCGUAACUAUAACGGUCCUAAGGUAGCGAAAUUCCUUGUCGGGUAAGUUCCGACCUGCACGAAUGGCGUAACGACUUGGGCGCUGUCUCCUCCGCGAGCUCGGCGAAAUUGGAGUAUCGGUGAGGAUACCGAUUACCCGCGACAGGACAAAAAGACCCCGUGCACCUUUACUGCAAUCUGUCAUUGGGUCUUGGCUUUGCAUGUGUAGGAUAGGUGGGAGACCGUGAACUGCCCUCGCCAGGGGGUAGGGAGUCGUUGGUGAAAUACCACCCUUACAAUGUUGAGGCUCUAACCCUGGGGAGUGAAUCCUCCUCGGGAACAGUGGCAGGUGGGUAGUUUGACUGGGGCGGUCGCCUCCCAAAAGGUAACGGAGGCGCGCAAAGGUUCCCUCAGCGCGGUCGGCAAUCGCGCGAAGAGUGCAAAGGCAUAAGGGAGCUUAACUGCGAGACCGACAGGUCGAGCAGAUGCGAAAGCAGGCCUUAGUGAUCCGGCGGUUCUGUGUGGAAAGGCCGUCGCUCAACGGAUAAAAGGUACGCCGGGGAUAACAGGCUUAUCGCCCCCGAGAGUUCACAUCGACGGGGCGGUUUGGCACCUCGAUGUCGGCUUAUCGCAUCCUGGGGCUGAAGAAGGUCCCAAGGGUCGGGCUGUUCGCCCGUUAAAGCGGUACAUGAGCUGGGUU
rnacentral:rRNA from 1 species